rnacentral:lncRNA from 1 species
UGAACUUUCCAGACCUUGGUUCCCCGCUAAGAAGAAAAGGAGCCCUGAAAGCCACCUUUGGUUACUGGCCUGAAAUGCCCUGAGGAACAUAAGCAACGUCAUGGAAUUUUUACAUCAGAUGAGGUCUCUAAUGAGAUGGAAGGUGAAGAAAAUAAGACUAAUUGUGUCUAAACAGAUAUACAGACACUGCAGCCACAAAAAGAUGACCAAACAUUCCUGCCCUAGCAAAGUGAUGAAGGGCAGCAUCUAAGUUUAUCUCCUUCCUGCUGUAUCCUGAGGAGCUGGAUGGUCCCCUGCCUGAAGGAAGAACCAAAGUAGUGUUGAAUUAAUAGAUAAAUGAAGCUAACUACUUUUUACAGUAAAGUGCUUUAAAAUGAAUAUGUAAUUGCAUUUAUUAAUCCUUGGGAAG